rfam:Canis lupus familiaris chromosome 15, whole genome shotgun sequence.
CCCCACUGGCUUUUGCUGAGCACACAGUCUAUUAGCCUAUUACGCCAUUGUAGGACAUGUGCCUCCCUCAAACCUUGUUAUGACCUUAGCACAUUACCCAUCUGACA